UUGAUUCAUCUUCUAAACGCCUGUUAAUGACGCGAUUUUAGCGUUAGCAUAAUAUUAACAUAAAAUGUGUCGUGUAUACGUUUAUUUCUAUCAGACGAUUGAGAGAAAAGCGGAGCACGGUUGAGAGUGCAUCUUCAACCAGUUACCAUCAGGAUUUUCCUUCCUUAUAUGUACAUUAGACUGAGUUUCCUUGGCCGGGUUUUUUUUUUUCUCUUCUUCUUGGGUUUGUUCUGUGUGAUGUCUUGCUGAUGUUCAGCCACAGAAUACAGUCCGCUUAUCUGCGAAUCGAGUGAAGUGUGAACCCUUCCUGGAGUGUGAAUCGUCUCAACUGUGUGUAACGGAAAAGUUGGACUGGCGAGCCGCCCGUUAAUCGGACCCUUUGAACAAUCCUGUUGAAAGAACAUCAAGGUUGAACAUACUCGUCUUUGAAUGACUGAUUCUACAUUUAUUCUGUUUAAUUUGUAAAGGUUGCUUAUUUUAUUUUUAUUUUUGUUUUGCUCAUUGUUAAAAUACAAAUUUCCUUCAAUUCUUACCUUAAA